rnacentral:rRNA from 1 species
UACGGGGGGAGCAAGCGUUGUUCGGAUUUACUGGGCGUAAAGGGUGCGUAGGUGGCGCGGUAAGUCGGGUGUGAAAUCUCGGAGCUUAACUCCGAAAUUGCAUUCGAUACUGCCGUGCUUGAGGACUGGAGAGGAGACUGGAAUUCAUGGUGUAGCAGUGAAAUGCGUAGAGAUCAUGAGGAAGACCAGUGGCGAAGGCGGGUCUCUGGACAGUUCCUGACACUGAGGCACGAAGGCCAGGGGAGCAAACGGG